AACUCAAAGGNAUUGACGGGGGGCCCGCACAAGCACNGGAUUAUGNNGUUUAAUUNGGAAACAAACGCGAAGAACCUUACCAGGUNUUGACAUCGGAGUGACGAACUCAGAGAUNGAGUUUUUNCUUCGGGACACAAAGACAGGUGGUGCAUGGUGGUCGUCAGCUCGCGUCCGUGAGAUGUUGGGUUAAGUCCCGCAACGAGCGCAACCCUUGUCAUUAGUUGCUACGCAAGAGCACUCUAAUGAGACCGCUACCGACAAGGUGGAGGAAGGUGGGGAUGACGUCAAAUCAUCAUGCCCCUUAUGACCUGGGCUACACACGUAAUACAAUGGCCGUCAACAGAGGGAAGCGAAACCGCGAGGCGGAGCAAAACCCUAAAAACGGUCUCAGUUCAGAUUGCAGGCUGCAACCCGCCUGCAUGAAGGUGGAAUUGCUAGUAAUCGCGGAUCAGCAUGCCGCGGUGAAUACGUUCCCGGGCCUUGUACACACCGCCCGUCACACCAUGGGAGUUUGUAACACCCGAAGUCCAUAGCCUAACCGCAAGGAGGACGUGGCCGAAGGUGGGAUAAGCGACUGGGGUGAAGUCGUAACAAGGUAGCCGUAUCGGAAGGUGCGGCUGGAUCACCU
rnacentral:rRNA from 1 species